rnacentral:tmRNA from 1 species
GGGGCUGACUGGUUUUGACAGCGGGUAGAAGAGGUGUGUAAGCAUGCCGAGCUUUGUUCAUUGGCUCGCUAAUCUUAAUGUUCACAAUUUUAAUUGGCGAAAAUAACUACGCUCUUGCUGCGUAAUCGAAUUAUAGUAGAUUACACUUAAUUCCUGCAUUAGAUGCGGGAACAAGACAUCGCCCGGAUGCUAUUGCUUUGAAGCGGUCCGAUAGUGCGGUGCAAAAAAAUCGAAGCUAGUUGAGAUGUUGCUCUGCCGUCUCGGCGAAAUUUAAGGAGCUAAGGAUAUGAUCGGUGGUUUUGAUCCAGUCUUAUCUCGAAAAUUAAGUCAGAACUAAGCAUGUAGAAAGCAUAUUGCUUCCUCGUUUGGACGCGGGUUCGACUCCCGCCAGCUCCACAA